rnacentral:lncRNA from 1 species
CACCGCCGCCUCCUCUUUGGUGUGCGCGGGGCUGCCGCCUCGCCACCGCUCAGACCCAGCCCCGGGCUCAGCGAGGCUGGCCCUCAGGAAACUGCAGCCCUGCAGACCCCAGCCCUGUGCCCCGUGGCCCCGCGCCCUCCCCGCCACCCCCUCGCCAGUCCGCCCGCCAGCCGGCUCUCCAGGUCCCCGCGGCGGCGCCGCACUCCAACAGCCCGACUGCCUACGCCGCGCCUGGGACUCCUCGGAUAUAGGCGCCCCGCCCCCUUCGGCCGGGGCUCCCGCCAAUCACGGCGGCCCAGUCCCGCCUCCGCCUCCCCGGCAGCCAAUAGCAGCGCCCGCUCGACCCCGGCCCGACCUCCCAGUGCCGACCGAGUUCCCCGGGCUGCCUGGGGAGGUGGCAGCUUGCGGGCGCCGAGCGCCGCGGAAGGAGGAGGCCCUGGGACGCACCCGCUGCCUCUGCCCGCUGGGCGACGCUGCUCGGAGCCAGCCACCGCCCGGGUUCCGAGGCGGGGACGCCUUUCUGUCGGGCUGCAAUUUACAACGAUUCAACGCCUCCAGGCUGCCGCUUGUCUUCAGAAGCUGCAAAAACGCCUUUCGGGAGGAGAAGAGAGAUGUGGUUUUCAGCCUUGGAUCCUUGGAAAACUUUUCAUCUCUCUGAAGUUCAGUGUUCUCAACAGUAAAAUGGAGACCACAAUAGCCACGCCCCCCCCCCUCCGCCCCCAGCUUUGCUACGAGGAUCAGCAAAGUUCUUAAAAGCAUUUGAAUGACCAUGUAUAUGUAAGGAGAUCUAUAAUGUCAGCUCUGUCACUGCCUGCCGAUGACUUCUGUCCUUAGCCCCUUUCCUGAGUCCCAAUUAUCUCUCCCAGUCGCCUUUAUUUCCGAAGGAGUAGGAAGGAUCCUACCAGAGUCUUUCACUAAAGCCAACUAUGGGUAAAACUGGAAAUAGUCGAAGUCCUGACCCCCAUGUUGCAGACGGACAUACGCGCUCCCACAUCUUCCUUUGUGUCUUAUGAAUACACUUACCAUACUGUGCUGUGUCUCGGAUCCAGUCCCGUUCUUCAUUCCCUUAAUUCCUGUUUGCUGAUCUGGGAAACUUCUCUGAGAGAUAAUAUUUGGAUCAUUGUUAUCCAAUCCGUGCUUAAUCACUAGAAAUUUUAGAAUUUGAGAACAGGGAGAAGAGGUGAGGGCCAAGAUGGAGGCCAGGUGUCUUAGUUAAUAUAUUUGUUUAUGAGCACCUAAGCCGGCCAACUCAAAGCCAGCUAACCAAAAGUUGGCUAACUUAAGCAAAAGGGAAUUGAGUGCACAGAUUUUGGGAGCUUACAAACUCAGUGGGAACUAGGUGUGGGAAUGAACAGAAAGGGAGAAAUAUUGGUUGGCCAAGAACAAAAAUAAAAAACAAAACCAAAACA